GACGAACGCUGGCGGCGUGCUUAACACAUGCAAGUCGAACGGUAAGGCCCUUCGGGUACGACGAGUGGCGAACGGGUGAGUAACACGUGGUGAUCUGCCCUGCACUUCGGGAUAAGCCUGGGAAACUGGGUCUAAUACCGGAUAGGACCAUGGACUUCACGGUUUGUGGUGGAAAGCUUUUGCGGUGUGGGAUGGGCCCGCGGCCUAUCAGCUUGUUGGUGGGGUAAUGGCCUACCAAGGCGACGACGGGUAGCCGGCCUGAGAGGGUGUCCGGCCACACUGGGACUGAGAUACGGCCCAGACUCCUACGGGAGGCAGCAGU
rnacentral:rRNA from 1 species